CCUGGGGAACGCCGGCCUCACCCGCUGGGAAGAACAGAGCCACGACGUGGGCGCUGCGGUGGCCUCUGUCCCCCUGAGUCCGUUCAAGCGCUGGCACACUCGGUGGU